UUGGAAAAAAGUGAUCCUGGCUCAGGACGAACGCUGGCGGCGUGCCUAAUACAUGCAAGUCGAGCGGACUUGAGGGAGCUUGCUCCCGAUGGUCAGCGGCGGACGGGUGAGUAACACGUGGGCAACCUGCCUGUAAGACUGGGAUAACUCCGGGAAACCGGGGCUAAUACCGGAUAAUUCAUUCCCUCACAUGAGGGAAUGCUGAAAGACGGCUUUUGCUGUCACUUACAGAUGGGCCCGCGGCGCAUUAGCUAGUUGGUGAGGUAACGGCUCACCAAGGCCACGAUGCGUAGCCGACCUGAGAGGGUGAUCGGCCACACUGGGACUGAGACACGGCCCAGACUCCUACGGGAGGCAGCAGUAGGGAAUCUUCCGCAAUGGACGAAAGUCUGACGGAGCAACGCCGCGUGAGCGAAGAAGGCCUUCGGGUCGUAAAGCUCUGUUGUCAGGGAAGAACAAAUACCGGAGUAACUGCCGGUACCUUGACGGUACCGACCAGAAAGCCAGGGCUAUCCCG
rnacentral:rRNA from 2 species